rnacentral:lncRNA from 1 species
CUAAAUAGAGUCAAAACAGCGAAAAACUGAAACUUAAUGGUAAAAAAUGAAAUAUAUAUGUCAGUCUAAUGCGACGAUGAGAAUCUCAGUAAAAGCUGCUAGCUAGCGCAUACACAUCAUCUUUGUUAGAAUAAUCUUAUAUGAGUCUAAUUAGGUUUCUUCACUAGUUUCCUUGAGGUAGCUGUAGCAGCUGGGAUAGUCUUUUCGGUUUCCCCUUUUCAAAAAAAAAAAGUCUUUUAGGUUUAGUUGGUUUUGUUGUUUCCUUGUCCUAGGUUAGUUAUAUGUAGUACAGAGAAGGUAUGCCGACUCGAUCUGAUCCUGUCGCGCGCGCGUGUCAUGAACAGUAGGGGAGCGG